GUAUUUGCUUUGGCAACACAUAUACUAAAAUUAGAACGAUACAGAGGAGAUUAGCAUGGCCCCUGCGCAAAAAAAAACAGAGAUUUUUUGCAAAGAUUU
ensembl:snRNA U6 U6 spliceosomal RNA